GACGAACGCUGGCGGCGUGCCUAAUACAUGCAAGUCGAACGCAUUUUCUUUCACCGUAGCUUGCUACACCGAAAGAAAAUGAGUGGCGAACGGGUGAGUAACACGUGGGUAACCUGCCCAUCAGCGGGGGAUAACACUUGGAAACAGGUGCUAAUACCGCAUAAUUCCAUUUACCGCAUGGUAGAUGGAUGAAUGGCGCUUUUGCGUCACUGAUGGAUGGUCCCGCGGUGCAUUAGCUAGUCGGUGGGGUAACGGCCUACCAAGGCUGCGAUGCUUAGCCGACCUGAGAGGGUGAUCGGCCACACUGGGACGGAGACACGGCCCAGACUGCUACGGGAGGCAGCAGUAGGGAAUCGUCGGCCAUGGACACAAGACUGACCGAGCAACGCCGCGGGAGGGAGGAAGGGUUUCGGAUCGUAAAACUCUGUUGUUAGAGAAGAAAAAGGAUGAGAGUGGAAAGUUCAUCCCUUGACGGUAUCUAACCAGAAAGCCACGGCUAACUACGUG
rnacentral:rRNA from 1 species